UACGUAGGGUGCGAGCGUUAAUCGGAAUUACUGGGCGUAAAGCGUGCGCAGGCGGUUUGCCAAGUCAGAUGUGAAAGCCCCGGGCUUAACCUGGGAAUGGCGUUUGAAACUGGCAGGCUAGAGUUUGGCAGAGGGGGGUGGAAUUCCACGUGUAGCAGUGAAAUGCGUAGAGAUGUGGAGGAACACCGAUGGCGAAGGCAGCCCCCUGGGCCAAAACUGACGCUCAUGCACGAAAGCGUGGGGAGCAAACAGGAUUAGAAACCCCUGUAGUCC
rnacentral:rRNA from 1 species